rnacentral:lncRNA from 1 species
GAAGACCUGAUGAGGGUAACGGGCUGCCACCACGUCCAGGUAGCCCGGCAACGGUAGCACAGGGUGUCAGGCUGCAGAAGCCACCUCUGCCCAGCAAUGCCUCUCUCACUCAGCUACACGGUCAGCAGAUGAUUUACAUCCUCUAAGUGAGUAACCAAGCCUUGCUCUGAUUAAGUAAUCCUUCCCUUAACUCCCUUUUCUAAAAACGUCUUCACAAUCAUCUAACAUAACUGGUUCCCUCUGCCACAAAGUCAAGAAGCACCUUUUGAGGGAACAGUGGGAUCUGCGGCAGCCUUGGUUAGGAAGACGCGCCUUUCCAGCAAACAUGCCCACUAAGGUUUAGAAGCAGAGAUGCUGAAUUCUGCUCUGAAAAUAACAUUUUCUGAAGCAACAAACUUUGCUUUCUUUCAAAAUAAUUGCAGUGAUUAUUUUUGGUCUCCUGUAUUCAGCGACGUCUGCUGCCACUUCCACCCUCCAUCAAGGUGACUUUGAUAGAGACAAGCAGCCCAUGACAAGAUGAGUGACCUGCAAGGUGCAAUCACCAGUGGCCACCCCAGGCCGUCCCAGGACAAGGCAGAUGGGGUCUGCUAGCCUCUCACGUUAAGACUGGGAAACGCAAAGCGGCGGGUAUGAUGCAGAAGAGCCGGGGGUCACGGUGGUCUCCUGGAGAAGACGGCACUGGAGGUAAAGCAUGACAGCAGCUAUGGGGAGAGAGGCACUGCAUAGCGACAGUUGUUUCGGAAGUUUAAGAUGCUUAAACAACCUCAAGGUCUACCAGCAAGUCAGAUUCGUGUUGGAUACCAUGAGACCUGGGAUUCUGUGCUACUUCCGCUGAACGAGGAACUGGCAGCCUAAUCUUGAUCCACACUUUCAAGGGCGAGGUGGAGAGGCCACCUUCCCAACACCUUAGGACUGGGCUGAACAUUAAACGCGGGGGAAACAGCAUGCACUGAAUCCCCGGUUACACUGGCCGCCGCUCCCUGCCUGAAGAACACCUCUGGGUGGCACCAUCCUUUCCUUUCCCUUGCUCCUCUUCCUCUGUUUCCACCUCCCACUCACCCCUUCCCCAGGCCAGUCAGAGCACUGCUAGAGUUAAUUACAAUAUUAUAAGACAAAUUAUAACAGCAGCACAUCUUGGAAAAGAAUCACAUCCACAUCUGACAGCCCUUUGGGGUGAUUCUGCUGUUCCCUAUUUCUCUCUCCGAGUCUUCUUAAGGUAACCUUGAGCAAAAGAACCACUAAUGUCUGACCAAGGAGCUGGCGUCCAGGUCCCCCAGAAGGAAAACAGUGCCAUCUUAUGAUAUUUACUAAGCACUUCUUGGCAGCAGACAUUGUUAGGCACUUCAGGUGUGUCAUCUCCAAUCCUUAAAACAAUCCCACAAGGUAGACGCAAAAACCAAGACACAGAUAGGGUUUUCGAGAAAACACCAUCUACCCAGAGGCCUCCAGAAAGACACUGGACCACAGUAGAAGAGGUAAACCAAAAGACUUCAGAUCCCAACAAGACCAAGCCCAGGAAAUCAUGUGCAACGCAAACCAUCUAUACUCUAGCGUGAGAACAUCACACUCCCUGCCAUCCUAACCUGGUAAAGUCAUUCCAACAGCAGAAAUGCUGUGAAAUAAGGCACAUCCUUAACACAGGUUCAUUCACUGGCCCCCUCCCAUCUCAUGGGACCCCCCCCUUUCGUCACUCCUCAGUCUUUUCA